AGAGUUUGAUCCUGGCUCAGGACGAACGCUGGCGGCGUGCUUAACACAUGCAAGUCGAACGGUGAAGUCCCUUCGGGGGCGGAUCAGUGGCGAACGGGUGAGUAACACGUGGGCAAUCUGCCCCUCACUGUGGGAUAACUCCGGGAAACCGGGGCUAAUACCGCAUAUGAAGCCUGGCGGCAUCGCCGGGUUUGGAAAGUUUUUCGGUGAGGGAUGAGCCCGCGGCCUAUCAGCUUGUUGGUGAGGUAAUGGCUCACCAAGGCGACGACGGGUAGCCGGCCUGAGAGGGCGACCGGCCACACUGGGACUGAGACACGGCCCAGACUCCUACGGGAGGCAGCAGUGGGGAAUAUUGGGCAAUGGGCGAAAGCCUGACCCAGUGACGCCGCG
rnacentral:rRNA from 1 species